ACCCUGCCACGCCGCCGCCGCCGCGCUCGCCUCCCUCCCUUGCUAAAAUGUGCAUUUUCUGAGAGAGGGAAUCGGUUUUUUCCGCCCCCCCCGCCUUUUUUUCCCUCUCUGCUGGGCGAGCUGUGUAACGUGGUGGUGCCUGCUCGGGAGGGAAGGGAGAGGUUUGCUGCCGAGUGUGGAAAGUGCGGAUUUCGCCUUUGUUUUAAGGGCUCCGGUAGUGACAUCCUCGGGGCAGUGAAAUGUAGCAUAAAUACCAAGCGGCGUGUAGCUGCGCCGCGCUUUUUUUUCUUUUUCCCCCUCCCGUGGAGAGGUUAAAAAAAACCCAAGCCACCCGUGGGUUAGCCCGGCUCGUUGAGGCUUGUGCAGAGAGGAACGGGACGAGAAAUAAGCACACACCGCCGUGCUGCCUAGCGGAGCUGAGACGGAGGGGGAAAAGGCCCUGGAGGGCCCGGAGCGCUGGGACGAGGAGAUGGAGGAUGCUGCGUGGAGGAGCAGCUGAACAGCGCUGUGCCCGGCCGCCCGCACGGAGCCCCUGCCCGCAGCCCAGCGCCGGCAGGGCGACGCGGCUCUCCCCGCAGGCAGGCUGCGAGCCCCGGGCCGGGGCAACCGCCGCUUCACUGGCGCCCUGCUAACCCCCCCCGCCCCCCCCAAGCCCCCCACGGAUGUGAGUAUUGCACCUGGCACAGGGAGCGGGGACCCGCCGGCCUCAUGCCCGCAUCGCGGCCCCUUCCCUGAGGAGCUGCGGUGAAGCGUUUGAGCCCUGACCGGAGUGAAAGCCCGCCCGGGGCACGGGUGUGGGGUCGGGCACGGGGCGGCCCCGGGGGCCAGCGCUGUUCUCCCCCCUCCCUGCCCCGGCGCGUUGCCUUUUGGUUACGGGGCCUGUUCUUAAAAGCAGGUUCCCAGGUUUAAGGGCCCUUGUGUUUAGGAGCUACGUAGCGUGUGAUAUGAAGAAAAAUUAAGUUUCAGCCUGGGAAAAUUUAACUCAUUUCGCUUGUUAUGGAGCGCAGCGGGCUUGAAAGAAGAAUGCGUUAAUUUUCUGUGCCGUCAAGCCGUAACAGCGUUGCUUGAGACAUUUCUACUUACUGCCUCACACGCUCCGAAUUUUUCUGACUUGUUUCUUUCCCAUAUCCAGAAUAUGUUAGUACAUCGCCUAAAUACCCUAACGACGUUCAAAAUAAUGUCCGUGCGCAUACUCAGAAGGUGAAUGUUUGUGUUAAGAACUGUCAGCAAAGCACAGAGCUGGGCUGAGACAUUUCUUGGAUUUAAUCUUGGUUUCUGGCUCUGCCUGUGGUUUUGAAGAAGAUGCUUAACUUUUUGCCUUCCUGCUGUUCCCCCUCCCCCAUUACCCCUUCGUACCCAAAUGAGAAGAAAACUUAUGUCACAGGAAUGGUGGGAAGAUUUUUUUUUUUAAGAAAAAAAUUUCUAUGGAAUGUGAAACAUUAUUAAAGGGGAAGCUGUGAAUACUUUAUAGAGAAGCCCUACUAAAAGAAAAACAGAAUUCAAAAGAACAGCUCAUCCUUCCCCCAAAAUAAAAACACUGAAGAAUCGUAAAUCUGAGGUGCAUCCCAGUUUGUAUCCUUGUGAUAUUGUAUGAGGACUUCUUGAAUGAUUCAGAAAUAAGCAGUAGGAGUAUUCAGUGAUUUCCAUGGGAGGAAGGUACAAACCAUCAAGGCCCCAGUUCUCUGCCAUCUUGAGCCUUUCGUGGUGAUUUGCAGCAGCACAGCUACGUGUGAAGCACUGAGAGACUGAAGACAGUGUUUAAACCUGACUUCACUUCAGUGUAAAUGAUCACACAAGGUUCAGAUCAACAGACAACAAGGGGUAAAAUAGGGAAAGCACUUAAGAUGCCUCUUUUAAAAGUAAUUUUUGAGUAGUUAAAGAUUAAGAAGCCAUAUAAAAAAGGCUUUUCUCCGCAUACGUUUAUGUUUACGAGUCCUAACACAAGAUGAUGGACCACAUUAUCUUAUGUGCAACAUUAUGUCUUAGGUGAAUCUAUAUCACUUUAUUGAUUUCGGGGGAGCUAUAGUGAUUUAAGUCAGUUUAAGAAACAAACCCAGCUAAGUUUUUAAUGAUUGGAAUAACAUUCUCCCUCUCUUUCGGUCAGAUUUGCCCUUCUAGCUCUCCAUUUCAUCAUUACAGAACCAGAAUCUCUGUUGCAAAAAAAGGAACAGACCUUCUCCCCCCCACCCCCCCAGUCAAGCUUUCUACAUUCUGGUUUUCAUUUUCAUGUUUAAAUAAAUUUAGGGCCCAAGCUCACCUCUUUUUUUUUUUUUUUUAGACCAAUUUAGUUUCAUUUAUUUAUGUUGGUAUUUUAUACCAGUAAAGCCAGAAGCAGAUCUCAGAAAAGAGAGUGUGUUUGAUGCACCAGAACCCUUUAGGGUUUGAUAAAAGACAUGGUAUCGUAAGUAACAUCUCCACUUCUUUUAUUCUUCUUACAUAGUAGCAACAAGAUUGAAUCACCAUUUUUAGCUAUUCUUCAGCAGAACUCCUAAUCUAUCAAUGUGUCAGCUCAACAGCAGUUUUCUCUUCACGCUAAUGUGAACCGGAAGAGUCCAGCUAUCACAGAUUUUGACAAUAUUAUUUUAUCCGAGAUUGCAUGUAUUGCAGAAGUUUGAAUAAAAUGAAUUAAAGGACUUACUAAAUUUUCCUAAAGAUGUAGAAAACAUAAAACAAGUAAAACAUUUUAAAUUCAUUUGUACAGGAUAAUACUCAUGAGUUAGGUGUUUCAUAAGCCUUCUGCUAUAAGCUCUAUAAAAUACUUUGAUAAAUAUGAUGAUAAAUAAAGUAUGAUAAAGUAUGAUAAAUAACAAGUAUAAGAGCAACUCUGGGUCCUGUAUCUUUUCGUAUGUCUCAGAUUGCCCUCUAUGCUGUUACAUAAUGCAUUAUAAAGAAAAAACAUGCCUUCAUUCUCUUUGAAUCACUCGGACAUUGAUAGUACUAAGCCCUUCCUCCAAGUCCUCGUUAUGCAAGUCCUUGCUACUGUUAAUAGCUGUCAGUUCUGCAUGGUUACUUAAAAAAUGAAGUAACUGCAGACUUUUUGUGAAGUUGAUUGCAUUUCUGGAAUUUAAAAUGAGUCAGUUCAGGUGCUUUGCUCCUUUUCUCAACUAUAAACUAAAUUGUUAUGAACAAACAGGAAGAAAGUCCCAUUCAUUCCAGUGUAUCACAAGCUAAUCUGCUUUUUGUUUAAUUGCUUCUAUAAGCGUAUUAUAUUAUGAGUGCCUGUAUGCACUUCUCCAGAGUCGAAGCACAGUGGAAUAGACCGAAAUACAGUAAUGUUUUGAAUGUUGAAAAAUACGGACAUUUAGCUAACUACUUGAAAAAUACAUAGUGGAAUAAAAAUCCAUGACCAAUUACCAAAGUUAUUAGAUAAUGAAAAUCCAUAUAGGCACUGAGUAGUAAAAUCUGUGUGAUACAUUAUAAUCAGCAUUCAAGUGAAACUGAUGAGAUAUCUGUAAAGAACAGAAAGAAUGAUAUUUUUAAAGCUAGAUGUUCCACAUUUCUUUAUUUGAGAAGUGAAAUUUUCCUUGUCCCUUCAUAAAGACAUAAAAUUAACAACAAGCACUUCAAAGAAUUAGGUGGGUUGCUUGGUAUUUAAUUUUUUCUCUGUCAUGCACAGAGAUCGUGUGCGGAAGAAAAUCCGAAGAAACCUAGUUCAGUUUGCCAAUGUCAUACAUCUUCCCCAGUAACCUCUCCUUUAACAAGGCCUCAGUUUUAAAGACACUGAAACCGGAAUAUCUCAGAACUCAUAAUACUGGUUAUAUAAAAAAAAAAUUCUCACUGAGUCUACACGUAUACUGCUUGUAUAUCUACACUACUUGUGUAAGUAUACACAUAGAAACUCAGUGAAGUGCCCCCAUGACAGAAGGGUUUUGUUUUGUGUUCUCUUAAUUGAUCUAUUAGUUUAGCAAUCCUUUUUUUUUUUUUUUUUUUUUUUUUAACCUUUUUAUUGCACUUGGAAAUUUGGAGGACUAGUUUAUAUGGUUUUUUUCCCUUCUACUAGUAUUCAUUUUGAAAGGUUCAACUACAUUCUGUUCAGGUUUUAGUAUGACUCAUGGGAAAUAAUUUUUAAUGCCUUUUGCUAGCAGUAGAGUGGGGAGGAGGAAUGCACUCUAAAGUAGUAUACGUACUAAACUGUACUCUAGUAAGAGAUUAAAUAACAAAGAGUACAAUAGCUGAGACAGGUCAUUUGUCACAGGUGCUCAUGCAGUUCUGUGUUUUGUUUUAAACUGGAUUCAUCAAGCAUGCUAAAAGGAGGAAGCAAUUUAUGUCUGAUAUAAAGUUUUUAUCCAAGGAGAAUAAAUGGGUUAAGUUUAAACUGUGGUUUGAAAAUAUAGGAAAACAUUGCUGGACAGUUGACAGCUUGAUUUGGUAGCCAAAGUGGAUGCAAGUAAGUAAAUUGGAAAAUGCUAUUUUUGCAGCAUCUAACAUACGGUUACUUCAAUAAUAGGAAAAAAUGUAUCAGAAAUGAAUUACUAUGGAAGAGAGUUAAUUUUGUUGUAAGAUGUUUUUGUCUGUUAAGCACAAGUAUUUUUACUGUAAAUGUCUGAAUUGUUUAGAUUAUGAGGGGUACUGAUGCUGUCGAAGAGUAAGCAUGAAAUGUUGAUGUCAUAACAUCUGAUACUUAAGUGGUAUAUACUGCUUUUACAAUAUUUCAUAAAUUUAUAACAUAAGUUCAAUAAUAAAACUUCAUGGAAAUGCUUGAGAUAA